GAUGAACGCUAGCUACAGGCUUAACACAUGCAAGUCGAGGGGCAGCACAGUGUAGCAAUACAUGGGUGGCGACCGGCGCACGGGUGCGUAACGCGUAUCCAACCUUCCCGUUACUCAGGGAUAGCCUUCCGAAAGGGAGAUUAAUACCUGAUGGUGUUGAAAUUCCGCAUGUUAUUUCAACUAAAGAUUUAUCGGUAACGGAUGGGGAUGCGUUACAUUAGGUAGAUGGCGGGGUAACGGCCCACCAUGCCUACGAUGUCUAGGGGUUCUGAUGGGAAGGACCCCCACACUGUAGCUGAGACACGGUCCAGACUCCUACGGGAGGAAGCAGUGAGGAAUAUUGGUCAAUGGUCGGAAGACUGAACCAGCCAAGUAGCGGGAAGGAUGAAGGUUCUAUGGAUUGUAAACUUCUUUUAUACGGGAAUAAAACCUCCCACGUGUGGGAGCUUGUAUGUACCGUAUGAAUAAGCAUCGGCUAACUCCGUGCCAGCAGCCGCCGCCGUAA
rnacentral:rRNA from 1 species